GGCGUGAGGCUUGGCAGUGAGCCAAGAAGGUUUGGCUUCUGGGGAGCAACGGUGACUACAGUAGGCUCCCAUGAGCCCCACCCCUCAGUCCUUCCUCGCCCUCCCCCUCAGCAAAGGAAAGCAGUGAAAAACGUGUUUUUAUAAAUAGCUCCAGCCCCAGCUGAUUUGUAAAUUCAGUGGGUUUUUUUGUGUCAAUGACAUCACCCUCCUCCCCAUGGCAACCCCCGACGAUAUCAAAAUUGCCAGGCAACGUUGGAGCUGCUCGCGCCCUAAAGGAGCAGGUCGCUGCCUGAGGAUCUAAUGGAGAAAUCCCAAAGUGAGCUAGGGUGCACGGUGGAGGAGGGGCUCGCCGCGGCCGGGGCUGCCGGGCCCUGAUCGAUCGGCCAGAGGAAGGCGGGAGUGGCUGCUGCUUGCUCCGCAGCCUGGACCAGCCCGGGGCUCCACGCCAGCUCCUCCUGACAGCAUCAGCGGAUCACAGCAGGUGGGGGGAGGGCACAGCUCGGUUCCUGACGUACCGGGAGCAGCAAGCAGCCAUCCAGGUGACUAAGCCUGCCCACUGCCACUGAGUCACACGCCCGCCUUGGCUUUUCUUCCUUCCCCAUUUGCAUCUGAUUAUUUGGGCAUCUGAAAACUUGGAGGUGUACCUGAGGCCCGCCCCUUCUAACUCUCCCCUCCCUACCUCGGCUGGGAGGAAGAUGGAACUCGCUGGGAAGCUGCCACUACCCCCUAAGGACAUGGAAGGCACGGAGGGAGCCAGAGGUGCCCAGGGAGAGACCGCAGCUGGCAGAGUACAAUAGCAGACAUGGUGAUCAGGCUGCCCAUGUGUCCUCUGAAGGUGCUGGAAGAAAAGGGGAGUCUGGUCCACACCGACUGGAGACCUCUUGUGUUUGCUUUGAGCUCACCUCUCAAGGGGAUCUUUCUGUAAACGUGUGGCUUCCAGAGCCGUUGGUAUUUGGAGAGCAAGGCUGGAUUGGCAUAGGCAGGCCUGUGCAGGUAGAGCAGCUUUCUGGGCUCUAGACAAGCACCAGCCUGCAGUGGGAGAGGGUAAGGCUCAGCUGCCCAGGAGUGCCAAGGCCGGCAGAGGACUGGCCCUGGAAGGUCCUAGGAUCUUCCCUUCCCUUGGUGCUCUACAGAGCUGACUGAAGACUAGUGAAAGGAGAGGAGAGAAGGCCACAGGAGGUGAGUGAGGGGACACCUGCUCCAGACCUUCCUGGGAGGUAGGUUGGGAGGGACAGU